rnacentral:rRNA from 1 species
UACGACUACAUAUCAGGCAUAUCAAUAAGCGGAGGAAAAGAAACUAACAAGGAUUCCCCUAGUAACGGCGAGUGAGGCGGGAAGAGCUCAGAUUUGAAAUCUUAAAGGGUUUCCCUUUACGAAUUGUAGUUUAAAGAAGUGUUUUCUGUUGGAGUUUCGGUAAAAGUUCUUUGGAAUAGGACAUCAUAGAGGGUGAGAAUCCCGUAUUUGACCGUUACUUUCCAGCUGUGUGAUACACUUUCAAAGAGUCGGAUUGUUUGGGAAUGCAGUCCAAGAUGGGUGGUAAAUUUCAUCUAAAGCUAAAUAUUGGCGAGAGACCGAUAGCGAACAAGUACCGUGAGGGAAAGAUGAAAAGAACUUUGAAAAGAGAGUUAAACAGUACGUGAAAUUGUCAAAAGGGAAGCGUUUGACACCAGUGUUGUUUAGUUGAAAAUCAAUUCAAUAGUUUUUGAUUCUAAGUAGUAUUGACUUCAUCAGCUUGCUGCUUUCUUCUCAGAAAUUAUUGAAUGCACUUUUCAGUUAACAAGUCAACAUCAAUUUCUUUUGUUGUAAAAGGGUAAGAGGAAGGUGGCUUGCGCUUCGGCUCAAGUGUUUAUAGCCUUUUAUCUCUGCAAUCGGAGAGAUUGAGGUCUGCAGCGUAGAUCCUUCGGGGUUAGAUACAUUGGUGCUAAGCUAUAGCCUUGUAUAGACAACUUGUUGACUAUGCUCAGUCAUGUAGCUUACUCGCUGAUGCUAUUUUACCUACGCUUAGGAUGUUGAGUAGCGACAUACGCAC